AUUGUGUUUAGUAUCUGAGAUCUCUCCUCGUGCGUAGCUGAAUGGUGACUGCUGUCUUUAUAUCUCUAUUGGUAGAGCUUAUUGUCCUGAGUAUAUUACUGGUAUGUUAAAAGGUGUGAAAAAAUGUAAAUUCUUUAUUUUCCAGUUAAAUACUUAAAACGCAUCCCCUCUCUCUAGUUUAUUUUGUUUGCCAAGAAUCUGCACGUUGAGCUGAGUCCCGAAGCAGAAAACCUCAUUCAGGGCUACUACGUCGCCAGUCGCAGAGUGAGAAGAGACUCCCUCCAUGGAUCCACCUUAUCCUCAUCCGCACUGAAAAUCCUGAUUUCGCUGUCUAAGGCUCACACUAAACUAAGUUUAAGAAAGAAAGUUCUUGAGGAAGAUGCGCUGAUUGCCAUCUUGUUACUUGAAUCAUCUCUCAUCCUAAAACACGGCCAGUCUGCACUAUGCAUAGCACCCAAUUCUGUAUUUCCAUUUGACCUGAGUGAUGAAAACUCCCUGCAGCAGAGAGACAGUUACCUCCUGCAGUGCCACC